rnacentral:lncRNA from 1 species
CCAUCGGGUUCCCGGUGACGAGGACGAGCAGGUCCCUGGUGGCGCCGUCGUCGGCGACGCCGCAGGAGACGCUGCGCCUGUCGGUGAUCGACCGCGUGGCGGGGCUGCGCCACCUUGUGCGGUCGCUGCACGUGUUCGACGGCCGCAGCGGCGGCGGCGCCGGAGGCGACGAGGCGUUGCAGGCGACGCCGGCGAGGACGCUGCGGGAGGCGCUGGGGAAGGCGCUGGUGGACUACUACCCGUUUGCGGGGCGGUUCGUGACGGAGGAGGACGGCGAGGUCCGGGUGGCGUGCACGGCGGAGGGCGCGUGGUUCGUGGAGGCGUCGGCGGCGUGCUCCCUGGAGGAGGUGAAGCACCUGGACCACCCCAUGCUCAUCCCCAAGGAGGAGCUGCUGCCGGAGCCGGCGCCGGACGUCAACCCACUCGACAUGCCGCUCAUGAUGCAGGUAUACACAUAUAUACAUCUAUCGGUCUAUCUGUGUUCAUUGUUAUACUUUGCAUAUGCAUGAAUUAGUAGUGAUAACGUGCACAAUAUACUAGCUGCUAGUUUGACGAUGCAAAUCAAGAUUGGUUUUUUCCUAGGAAGAACACAUGCGAAACUGUAUCGAUCAGUGAGAGGCAUCGAGACCAAGCAUUAGUAACAAAAAGUUGCUAAUAAGCAAAUAAAAGAUGGAGAAGGAACCUCUUGACGUUACGAGACGUUGGCGCCAUAUCUCUGGAUCAAGUCUCAAGAUAUAUAGGGAUCGUACCUGAAAAGUUGGGACGAUACCGGCAUCAUAUAUUCGUCGGAAGAAUUUUCUCGCUAGCUUCCAUAGCUGCUAGUGCCAUGCAAACCACGACCGCAAUUCAAAAUCUUGACAAGCUAAGCAUGAUGAUGACUAGCUCCAUAUACUGCCAGUGCAGUUCCGGGCUAUAUCGCUAACCUCUUCUUAAAAACAUUUUCUUCACGAAGUAAACUAAUCUGGAGGCGCAAGUGAUAGUAUUUCUAAGAAAAGUUUUUUUUAAAAAAAAAGAUGACUUUGAAAGCGAAGGACUUACGAGUUACGACGACGCGUGUGAGAGAGGUGUUGCAGGCUUGCAGCCUAGCCGUGUCUCUUACGUUGGCACACGCAAGUGUGCCGUGCAAUGGUUCGGUAUAGUGGUAUCCAGUAACAGUCAUGAGCGAUCGAUCGAGUAGCAGAGUACAGAUGGAAGUUGCCGGAGCGAGAUAGAUGCUGCGCGGUUUGGCGCCAAUGAACCAUCAUGCAGUAGUUGGGCCGUCGAUCGAGAUGGAUCGGAUCGUCGUCUCAGUGCUGCCACCACUGCACUGUUCCACUAACGCUGUGCAGGCGUACGUGCCCGGCCGUGUAGUAUAUUCUGACGCCUUCGCCAAAAGCAGGAGCUAGCAAGCCUGUUUCGGUGUUUCCCUCACGUUUCUGCCAACAUCGACCACCCACGUAUACUACGCGCCAUACCGCAACAACUACACUCUGCAGCAUGCAUGCACCAACUUGGCAAUUUCUAACAUGAGUGCAUAUGCACUCGCGCUACAAGUACUGUUGCACCGGCCGGCGAGAGCGAACUCUCUCGAUGACAAGGGAAGGCAUGCGCAUGAGCCAAUUAGCUCCUGCUCGAACAUGCAUCUUGUUUCUGCUUAUAAUAUCUUUCCGUCUAGGACGUGUACUACGGCGAUGUAACCACAAUUUCUCAGAAGUUGGGCACCACCUUACCUACCUGCCUACCUGCCUACCACUACAGGACACAGGACAGGACAGGACUACUAAACUGCAUGCAUCCCCACGCCCGUCUCUCUAGCUAGAAUGGAUCGAUAAUGGCAUAAACAAACUUAGCAUGUAUAAUAUCUUCCGGGUCGGAGAUGACAUGUGGCAUACGUAAUGUUUACUGCAGCAUGCAUCAUAUGAUGCCCGGUUUAAAUUACGUAGCUAUCUGAAGGUUGCGAGGUCGUUGUUAACGUACACAUCGAGAUUGGUUACCAGAUACCGCAUGUUUAUGUUGGUGGCGCCCACUAGUACGUGGCACGUCUCCUAGUUUCCUUCUCUUCCAUGUACUCAUAUAAGAAGAUCAUAUCGAAGGGAAAAGGUCGUGGCAGUAGUCAGGUGCAGUGGGCAAUGACAGUAUUAUACACACAAUGAUGUAAAAAGGUGCCAAGAGAGCUAAUAAAAUUAUAACUUAGAGGUACAAAUCAAAUUAAAGUUUGGUAAAAAAAAAGAUCCAUCCAUAUCACUUAUGUCGACACACAGUUCCUCUCUCUGUUUGCGCUUGGUCUUUAGCUUCUGAAAGCUUUGCUUUCUGUUGGAUACUGCAGAAGAUCCAUUUGUGCUAAUCAAUAGCAACUUUCUUUCAGCAUGUAGGCUAUAUAGCUAGGUAGCCACUUCCAGGCAACCAAAGAGAGAGCAUGUCUCUCCAUAUGUUUAUCUCCUCUCACAUAUCUUUUCUCUCAAGUUGGACCCAAGCAUCAUGAUUCGUCAUCGGCAAAGACACUUUCUUUCUAGCUCAUCACUCAACAAAGUCUAAUGAUGUAAGCACACAUUUAGCCUUGAGAUUAAAAAGCUACCGUGCCUAAUGGCUAGCCAAAUUCAUACGCAUUGCAAGGUAAUAUAGGCUGCUGUUGACCACCAACGGCGACUGCCACUGACAUAGGUCAUGCAUGGUGCAUAUAUGCCUAUAUAUGAUGACUACUAGAAUCUUCAGCAUACAGUAAAAAGAAAGAAAAAGGCAAAAUCUUCAGUAAAUCUAUAGUGGCGCACCGACGUACUCGUGGUUGUUGGGAGCUUUAUUUGCGCGUGAAAAAGGCUCUGGAUAACGUAGGCGUUUAUGCACAGAAGAGGGUGGAUUAAAGCGUGUGAUAGUCUAACAGAUGGUAAGAAAACGCAGCAGGCGUCCAAGUGCGUUAGUUGUUGGGUCAGUGAAAAGGUUAAAAGAACGCAUGUAUGCAGGUCAAGAGGCUCCAUCGACCAUCGGUCACGGAGCUUUCAGCCUUUCACUACUCUGAGUGACACCGGCUUGGACUCAUAUGAUCUUAUCUCUUGCUACCAUCACGUACCUUUCUUCCUUGCUUGCCACGUAGGUUCAUGUACUUGUUACUGGAUAUGCAUGAUACCUAUGGCUAACUAACUCUGUAUGUAGGUUAAUUAUUAUGUGCUCUUAAUUUGUUUUAGUUGGUUCUUAGUCUUGUCAAGUUACUAUCUUUCACAGUACAAAACAAAUACUUUAUUUCUUAGUCUUGGUUCUUAAUCAUAUUUAGUUACACCGUCGUGUUACUUUCAGAUUGACAAGGAAUCAUAUGAUGAGGAAGGAUACAAUUUUUUUUAUGAAUGGAAGUGAAAUAUAAUUUGGCGGAGGAUCCUCCAAAAAAAUAUUUUUUUAAAAAAAAAUAUAUAAGCAAACAAAACGGCUGAAAGAAGAAAUUGGCAUGCGCUCGCGCAGGUGACGGAGUUCACGUGCGGCGGCUUCGUUGUCGGCCUCAUCUCCGUGCACACCAUCGCCGACGGCCUCGGCGCCGGGCAGUUCAUCAACGCGGUGGCGGACUACGCGCGCGGCCUCCCCAAGCCCCGCGUGGCCCCCGUCUGGGCGCGCGACAUCAUCCCGGCGCCGUCGAAGAUUGUGUCGCGGCCGCCGCGCUUCGAGCUCUUCGACCUCCGCUACUUCACCGUGGACCUCGGCCCGGACCACAUCGCCAAGGUCAAGUCCAGCUUCUUCGAGGCGACGGGGCAGCGCUGCUCCGCCUUCGACGUGUGCGUCGCCAAGACGUGGCAGUCCCGCGUCCGCGCGCUCCGGCUCGACGCCGACGACCCGUCCCGCCCAGUCCACGUCUGCUUCUUCGCCAACACCCGCCACCUCCUGCCGCCGGCGCCGGGGUUCUACGGCAACUGCUUCUACACGGUGAAGGCGACGCGUCCCUGCGGCGAGAUCGCCGCCGCCGGCGUGGUGGAGGUGGUGCGCGCGAUCCGGGACGCCAAGGCGCGGCUGGCCGCGGACUUCGCGCGGUGGGCGGGCGGAGGGUUCGAGCGCGACCCCUACGAGCUCACCUUCACCUACGACUCGCUCUUCGUCUCCGACUGGACGCGGCUCGGGUUCCUGGAGGCGGACUACGGGUGGGGCACGCCGGCGCACGUCCUGCCCUUCUCGUACCACCCCUUCAUGGCCGUCGCCGUCAUCGGAGCGCCGCCGGCGCCCAAGCCCGGAGCGCGCGUCAUGACCAUGUGCGUCACGGAGAAGCACCUGCCGGAGUUCCGGGAGCAGAUGAACGCCUUCGCCGCCGGGAACUAAACCAUGCUUACCUAUCGUCGUCGUGUAUCGCCGUUUCCUCAUCAAAGCGUGUCUACGUACGUGCAUGCAGCGAACUACUGCAAGUUUGGAAUUCGCCGGUAUUGAUCUCUCGAUCUCCAUCCCCUAGCUUGCUAUGCCUCAUCAAGAACUCAUGAAUGGAUUUGCUUGCGUGUAAUUUGUUUUUC